rnacentral:rRNA from 1 species
ACCUACGGGGCGCAGCAGUGAGGAAUAUUGGUCAAUGGGCUUACGCCUGAACCAGCCAAGUCGCGUGAGGGAAGACUGCCCUAUGGGUUGUAAACCUCUUUUGUCGGAGAACAAAACCCGGGACGAGUCCCGGACUGCGUGUAUCCGAAGAAAAAGCUCCGGCUAACUACGUGCCAGCACCCGCGGUAAUACGUAGGGAGCGAGCGUUGUCCGGAAUUACUGGGUGUAAAGGGAGCGUAGGCGGGACGGCAAGUCAGAUGUGAAAACUGAGGGAUCAACCUUCAGACCGCAUUUGAAACUGCUGU